rnacentral:rRNA from 1 species
UACGUAGGUGGCUAGCGUUGUCCGGAUUUACUGGGCGUAAAGAGCGCGCAGGCGGUCGUUCAAGUCGGGUGUGAAAGCCCCCGGCUCAACUGGGGAGGGUCACUCGAUACUGAUCGACUCGAAGGCAGGAGAGGGAAGCGGAAUUCCCGGUGUAGUGGUGAAAUGCGUAGAUAUCGGGAGGAACACCAGUGGCGAAGGCGGCUUGCUGGCCUGCUCUUGACGCUGAGGCGCGAAAGCUAGGGUAGCAAACGGG